rnacentral:lncRNA from 1 species
CGCCUAGCAGAUUCUAUUUAUCUGUAGCUUAAAAAGCAGCUGCGUUUUUGUAAAAAGCAAUGAAUGUGGCAGUCCUACUUAAAGGUAGAAGAAAAAGAACACCCCUUGUUUUGUAAUAAGGGGAUUUUCCAUUUAAAAGAGAGAGCGAGCCUGUUGUGUGAAGUACGAUUAUUACAUUCACUGUAUUCUAUCUCACCCACCAGGAGGUUAAUAAUGAAGGGCCAGAGAAGGAGGCCAGUGCUACCAGGGUUAUCUCGCAGCCUCAGAUGUUGGAUAAGUCGAAGGAGGCAGGAUCGCUUCAGGAUGACAUUCAGAAAGGCCGGAGUGAUUAUUGGGAAGAGAAAAGCCUACCUAUUCUUUUCUAAGGUGCCUGAAUAUUCCCCUGGCCUGCCUGUCCAGGCACUGAUGCAUUAUUAGCAACCUGCCUUAGACAAAGGAGGCACUCGGAGCCCCACCACACCUCAAACCACGCUUUGAAGGAUCUGCCAAGCUCACUUUUAAUCAUGAGGAAGGAAUUACCCACAUGGAGUCAGCAGAAAAUGAGAAAGUGGAGUUCGUGCUGCGAAUAAUUCCAGCAAGUGCCAAGGGGCUAGUUGAGGAAUGGUUUCAUGAGGUGAAUAUCUUUAGCUUGUACUUAGGGUUUGGGUAGCGUAUAAU